AGUCAAUGAUGGAAUUAUAUGUUGAAUAGGACAGGACACUGUGCAUAAAGCAAGAGAUGUAUUUAUUUACUUAUUUACCGAUUCAUUUAGUGUGUGUGUGUGUGUGUGUGUGUGUGUGUGUUAUAGGCCUA
rnacentral:sRNA from 14 species